rnacentral:rRNA from 1 species
AUACGGAGGAUGCGAGCGUUAUCCGGAUUUAUUGGGUUUAAAGGGAGCGUAGGCGGGAGCUUAAGUCAGCGGUUAAAUGGUGCGGCUCAACCGUGCCCUGCCGUUGAAACUGGGUUUCUUGAGAGUGCAAGAGGCGGAUGGAAUUCAUGGUGUAGCGGUGAAAUGCUUAGAUAUCAGGAAGAACUCCGAUUGCGAAGGCAGUCCGCUGGGGCACGUCUGACGCUGAUGCUCGAAGGUGCGGGAAUCAAACAGGAUUAGAUACCCUGGUAGUCCGCACGGUAAACGAUGAUUACCCGCUGUCGGCGGUAGACAGUCGGCGGCCAAGCGAAAGCGAUAAGUAAUCCACCUGGGGAGUACGCCGGCAACGGUGAAACUCAAAUGAAUUGACGGGG